GAUGAACGCUAGCUACAGGCUUAACACAUGCAAGUCGAGGGGAAACGAUGAGAGAGCUUGCUCUCUCAGGCGUCGACCGGCGCACGGGUGAGUAACACGUAUCCAACCUGCCUUUUUCCAGGGAAUAACCUUGCGAAAGUAAGACUAAUGCCCUAUGUGUCCUCAGACGGCAUCAGACGAGGACGAAAGAUUUAUCGGAAGAGGAUGGGGAUGCGCCUGAUUAGGCAGUUGGCGGGGCAACGGCCCACCAAACCGACGAUCAGUAGGGGUUCUGAGAGGAAGGUCCCCCACAUUGGAACUGAGACACGGUCCAAACUCCUACGGGAGGCAGCAGUGAGGAAUAUUGGUCAAUGGACGAGAGUCUGAACCAGCCAAGUAGCGUGCAGGAUGACGGCCCUAUGGGUUGUAAACUGCUUUUGUACGGGGAUAAAGUGAGCCACGUGUGGUUUAUUGCAGGUACCGUACGAAUAAGGACCGGCUAAUUCC
rnacentral:rRNA from 1 species